GCUUGCUCUCAAGAAGUUAGCGGCGGACGGGUGAGUAACACGUGGGUAACCUGCCCAUAAGACUGGGAUAACUCCGGGAAACCGGGGCUAAUACCGGAUAACAUUUUGAACUGCAUGGUUCGAAAUUGAAAGGCGGCUUCGGCUGUCACUUAUGGAUGGACCCGCGUCGCAUUAGCUAGUUGGUGAGGUAACGGCUCACCAAGGCAACGAUGCGUAGCCGACCUGAGAGGGUGAUCGGCCACACUGGGACUGAGACACGGCCCAGACUCCUACGGGAGGCAGCAUUAGGGAAUCUUCCGCAAUGGACGAAAGUCUGACGGAGCAACGCCGCGUGAGUGAUGAAGG
rnacentral:rRNA from 1 species